GAGUUUGAUCCUGGCUCAGAAUCAACGCUGGCGGCGUGCCUAACACAUGCAAGUCGAGCGAGAAAAGGGGGGCAACUCCCUGAGUAAAGCGGCGCACGGGUGAGUAACACGUGGGUAAUCUGCCCUGAAGUGGGGAAUAACACCGGGAAACCGGUGCUAAUACCGCAUACGAUCACAGAGUCUGCGGAUUUUGUGAUGAAAGGAGCAAUUCGCUUUAGGAGGAGCCCGCGGCUGAUUAGCUAGUUGGUGAGGUAAUGGCUCACCAAGGCAACGAUCAGUAUCCGGUCUGAGAGGACGGUCGGACACACUGGAACUGAGACACGGUCCAGACUCCUACGGGAGGCAGCAGUGGGGAAUUUUUGGCAAUGGGGGCAACCCUGACCAAGCAACGCCGCGUGGGUGAUGAAGUCUCUUGGGACGUAAAACCCUUUCGACGGGGAAGAAACCGCAAGGUUGACGGUACCCGUAGAAGAAGCCCCGGCUAACUCCGUGCCAGCAGCCGCGGUAAUACGGGGGGAGCAAGCGUUGUUCGGAUUUACUGGGCGUAAAGGGCGGGUAGGCGGCCACCGCAAGUCAGUUGUGAAAUCUCUGGGCUUAACCCAGAAAGGUCAACUGAUACUGCGGGGCUAGAGUGCAGAAGGGGCAACUGGAAUUCUCGGUGUAGCGGUGAAAUGCGUAGAUAUCGAGAGGAACACCUGCGGCGAAGGCGGGUUGCUGGGCUGACACUGACGCUGA
rnacentral:rRNA from 1 species